UACGAAGGGGGCUAGCGUUGUUCGGAAUCACUGGGCGUAAAGCGCACGUAGGCGGCUCUUUAAGUCAGGGGUGAAAUCCCGAGGCUCAACCUCGGAACUGCCUUUGAUACUGGGGAUCUCGAGUCCGGGAGAGGUGAGUGGAACUGCGAGUGUAGAGGUGAAAUUCGUAGAUAUUCGCAAGAACACCAGUGGCGAAGGCGGCUCACUGGCCCGGUACUGACGCUGAGGCGCGACAGCGUGGGGAGCAAACAGG
rnacentral:rRNA from 1 species